UACGAAGGGGGCUAGCGUUGCUCGGAAUCACUGGGCGUAAAGGGCGCGUAGGCGGAUCUUUAAGUCGGGGGUGAAAGCCCGAGGCUCAACCUCGGAACUGCCUUCGAUACUGCGGGUCUCGAGUCCGGGAGAGGUGAGUGGAAUUCCUAGUGUAGAGGUGAAAUUCGUAGAUAUUAGGAAGAACACCAGUGGCGAAGGCGGCUCACUGGCCCGGCAUUGACGCUGAGGCGCGAAAGCCAGGGGAGCAAAGCGGG
rnacentral:rRNA from 1 species